rnacentral:rRNA from 1 species
CACGUAGGGGGCAAGCGUUGUCCGGAUUUAUUGGGCGUAAAGAGCUCGUAGGCGGCUCAGUAAGUCGGGUGUGAAACCUCCAGGCUCAACCUGGAGACGCCACCUGAUACUGCUGUGGCUAGAGUCCGGUAGGGGAGCGUGGAAUUCCUGGUGUAGCGGUGAAAUGCGCAGAUAUCAGGAGGAACACCGGUGGCGAAGGCGGGUCUCUGGGCCGUAACUGACGCUGAGGAGCGAAAGCAUGGGGAGCGAACAGG